GUAUCUUUUACAAACAGUAUCCAUAUUCCUGUGCCCUAGAUUCACUUACACAUGACAUGAAGAUUCCAGAGCAGGACUGUAGGAAGUAACAGUAGUCUGAAAGCAGCAAAGAUCAGCUUAGUUACGAGACUGAAAAGAGGAGCCAAAAUGAAGAACAUUUGCCUAAAGUCAGCCAUGCACAAACUGCAGGCAAACCCAGAAAAACAGUGUGAAGAUAUGGACAGACCAGAAUAGAAGCAGCCAUGACGGAUGAGUCACCUAGUUCAAUAAAGGGCAAAUCUUCAAUCU